GAGAAAUCGAGUGAUGAGAUCCAGAAAGAGAGUCGCAUGCAUCUUACUUUUGCUAGCUGUGGUAUUUGCUGCUUGUUGGCUGCCUUACCACAUCAUGAACUUGGUAAUGAACAUAACAGGCCAUACAGAAGCAGAGUCCGUUAACGUAUAUCUCUUAUUGCUGGGCCACUCAAAUUCAGCAUUAAACCCGAUUAUUUACUGUGCUCUGUCCAGGAAUUUCAGAAAUUCAAUCAAGAGCCUGUUGAAAUUUAAAAUUCGAUGUAGGAGGAAGAAACACAACCCCAUGAACCAUUGGGCGGCCGACAGUUCAGGUUCAGGAUUUCAAGUUCCAGCCAACAAAGCUUUACCUUUACUUAAUCCUCCCAACGACUUUGGAAUCAGCAGGAGACAGUCCUCUCAAAAAACCAGGACUUGUGCGGUGUAGAUAACAGUGAAUUUAUCCAGUUAAAAAAAUCAAAAUUUUAUUAGUCAGAGUGUUCGAAUCACAGAGUGGUGUAUACAGUGUAAAUAGCAGAAAAUUAUCCAGGGGAAGCUUCCGAAAUUAAAUUAGUAUUAGAUUUUAUUCAAUAAGUUUUCAAAAUUUCAAAUUGUGUAGGAAGUGAUCAGUGGUCAUUUAAAGGUUCUUUGAUUAAGUUGACUUAGUUUCCAAUUAAUCAUGGUAAAAAAGUUCCUUUUUUAUAAAACUAAAAUAUGCGACUUUUGUAAUUUUAAACUUUUUAUAAACGGAACUAGUUUCAAGUAUAUUAUAAUUCAUGCAUCAACAUGUACAUAGUAAUUGUUAUAAUAUUUUUAUCACACUAUUGAUUUAUAAAGUUUACAGAGCAUUAAAAGUAUUUGUUUGCUAAAUAAUAAAACUACUUUACUUUGAAAUAUAUCAUGUAACAAACUGUGCAAAUAGAAAUUUAUUAGUGACUAUUAUAGCAUUGUGUUUUAUAAUUAACUACAUAUAAGUUUUAAAUUUAAGCGAGAAUAUGAAGAAUUAAAAAUUCAGAAGAAGUUCAGUUAUCUGAGGUUUCAAUUCUUGCAAUUUGAAUAAUUUUAUAAAAUAAUUAAACGAAUGUUAGUAUUAAGCCACUGUUUCUUGGAACAUUUUCCAUGUUCAUACAUACAUCCCAUAUAAAUAUUGUAAGUAGGCCAAUAAUAUGCGUCAAUAAACUAUCUGAAUGUAUAUUGAUUUCUAAAUGUUACAAAGACUUUACUGAUUUCUAGCUUCUUUUGCAAUUCGUUAGAUAAUAAAUUGUAAAACAUACUUAUAUUACUGAGAAAAAUCUGCAUUAUUGCUAUUAAAUGUGGUGUUUAAUAUUCAGCUGUAUAUAAAUGGUCAUAUAUUUUGUUUAAUAAAUCAGGGAAAAUUAUAA